rnacentral:lncRNA from 1 species
GGGGGAGCUGGGUGGCAGGUCAGAAAUCCUCCUGCACAGCUUGGCCAUCGAGGCCUGCAGCUGCUUGAGCACUGCGAUGUCCACCGGGGCCCAGGCCUGGGACAGCGGGGCCUGCAGAGACUCCUGCAGGCCUUCCAGGGGCGGCUUCAGGAGGCAUUCUGGGGGUGGGGAUGCCGUCAGGCCAGCAGGGCCUCGCUGGGAAAGCUCAGCCCCACCCUGGGUCCCUCCCUGGGGGCAGCAGCCUUGCCCUGCCGGGCCCAGAGGAGCCACGGCAGUGCCAUGACCAGCAGCCGACCCCAUUCUGGUCGCCUCUGCCAGAGGCCGUGCCCAGCCUGCAUGCCGCCCGCCCUCGUCUGUGGCCUGCGCGCCCGGGGCUCGGGCUCACUCAUGUCUGUGCACCUGAGGGCUGUGUCUCCGUGGCUGUGAGCACUCUCUUGCCCCCCAGGGUGAAGGCAUCCCGAGCUUCGGGGGAAAGGAAAGGGCGUCUGUGGGGACAGUAGGCCUGGGAGGGGUGGCUUGAGUAGGACAUGGGGGGGGAUCCCAGCACAGGGUACGAGCCCCCACUGCCUCUGGGUCCCGCAGUCCUGCAGGCUACCUCCAAAAAGGUCCUAUAGCUCCUAUCUGGGCAGACGGAGGAGGUCCCCGCCAGGCCACUUGGGGUCCUAAGGCCCUGGCCAGCACCUCUGCUGACCUGGGGACAUCAGACUGCCCCCCACACGGCAGGAGCUCCCCAGAGGAGCCCAGCACUGGCUGCAGGGUGGGAACGGGCUUGCCCUCCCCCCAGGCUGACCCAGCCUUUCCUAUAGGAGCCCAGGUUUCCCCACCCCCACCCUCAGGGACCUAGUCCCCCUGGGCACCCUCACCGGGUUCAUGAAGCGCUGCAGGAACCACUCGGCGGUGUAAAUCGCAGUGGUUGUCUGUUUCUCGUCCUGAAGGAGGCAUGAGUGCUCAGGGCCGGCCUGCCAGGCCCCAGACCUCCCCACCUGGGGGCCCCAUGCCGCUGCCCCUGGGGCCCGUGGACCCCAGCUCGGUCCUGGCCUUGUCAGGACCAGGAAGAUGACACUGCGGGCGGGCCGGGCCCUGUGAGGGCCGCUUCUACUCCCCGGGUGCCGCUUCACCUCGGGGAGGGCCUGCCUAGGAUGUGCUCUUAGGGGCCUGGAAUCACAGAUGUUUCGGGAACCCCAGAAUGAAGAAGCCUGAGAAGCCCCCAGAAGUCAGAGCCGCGCCUACCAGGGGUUCGUGUGUCCCAGGAACCCAAGGCCUUCCCCCUACCCCCCACAGUGACCCCACUGUGGAGGGCCCACCCCAGCCUGGCUGGACAGCUCUUCCCAGACCGGCCGGACUGCCUUUGAGGCCUGGGGCCAAGGACCCACUCACAGAGGCCCAGCUUGGCGGUGCUGAGCAUCUGGCGGGCAUCUGGCUCUGGCACACGCCCUCCCCGCUGUGGCUGCAGCAGGGGACAGGGGUCCCAGUACCAAGGGGAGGGAGUGCGGCCCACGGGGUGGGGGAUGGGGCGUGCACAUCUCCAGGCUUGGGAGUCAGGCGGGGGGCACAGCAGGGGACGCUGCCAUGUGGCCUUCCUCUGGUGGCACGGGCUUGGGGCGAGAGAAGGGGUGCGGCCAGGUGGGUGGCGGACGAGAGGCAGAAAGACCAGUAGGGGUGCAGUGGUCUGAACGAGGCCGGGGCUGAGGGCCGUGGCUACGGGACCCAGAGAGCUGCAGGGGGCAGCCAGUGCCCUUUGUGGGUGGGGAGAUGGACUGGGGGACCCUGCAAGGAGACUCCGGGCCCUGAGUCACAUCCAGAGCUCUGUGGCCGUCACCUACCAUGCAUGGUGCGCUUUUGCUCGGUCGUCAGCUAGCCCAGCGCCCAGAAGGCGUCGUCCUCACUCAGGAACAACAGCAGGAUGGCCACAGCCUGGCUCCUGCCCUGGCAGUAGCCCACCUCCCGGACCCCCUUGGAGGCCUCCUCUCCCUUCCCUGGCACUUGGACCUCAGCUCUUGGACAGGCUCCCACCCGUGCCUGGUCACCAUCCCAGGGGCCCCUUUUCCGGACGAGGCGUACUGGGUGCUGGGCACGGGCACAGUCUGGAGAUCCUGCCAUGAGCUCAGGCAGGGGUUGCUGACUGUGGCAUGUGUGAGCCUGGAAGGGCACAUGGUGGCGGCGGGGUUGGGGGGGGGUGGCCUGAGACCCCACAGUGGGCGAUCUGUGGGGUCAUCUCAGCUAGUGUUCCUCGAGGGAAUGUUCUGGAAAGAGCAGGUGGGGCAGGGAGCUGCCUCCCUGGGGCCACACAGGUGUUUGGGUUGCUGAGAACUCUCAUCCCUGCUAGGCUUCUGAUUCACGAAACAGCAUCUUCAAGAUCCAAGCUCAAGGGUCAGGACAACAGUAAUGCCUUUUAGGCCCAUGCGAAGUUCUUAUAAAACAUUUCCACGCUCAGGGGCUGGCACAGCCUAGGCCAAAGGUGCCACUUCUGUCCUGCACCCCUGCCAUCCAUCUCGGUGUGAGAGCAGAGCUCCCCUCGCAUCACCUCUGUGGCCAUGGAGCUGGCGUCCCCAGUCCCCACUGGCCGCCGACAGACCACUUAAGGAGCCGGGCCAUCGUGGGACGGCUCGGCCGGGGACCGUGCUCUCGGCGUUGUACACGGAAUAGGCCGCGAGCACGUGAAACAGGGCUCGCUGCCUGGAAGGGGGACAGCGGGGCUCACCGCGAGGCCCCUGCCGCUGGUCAUGCGUGUGGUGAGUGUGGGACACGGGUCGGGGCCAGGGUCGCUAAUGUUGGACAGGGUGAUAGAAUUGGGGGCUUCCUCACACUUGACUUUUUUAGAGGAUGCAGAUUGUCUAAAAAAGCAGAGAGGUGUAACAGUAAACAUCAAAAUGGAGUGUCAUUGUGUCCCCUCUAACCCUCACUCCAUCCUCCUGUGUCCCGGUCCAGACUGCUCUCUGCCGCCCGGUGCCCCCCUUUCCCCACAGGGGCCUGUGGACCUCGGAGGACACAGCCAGCCACCUGCACCUGGCCCCCUCCCCACUCAGGGCCACCCCCGUCCUGUGAGCUCCCACCCCUGCUGGCGCUCUGCACAGGCCCCACUCUCGCCACCCCAGCUCCAGACCUGGUCCUUGUGCCUCUCCUGCCCAGCACCCCUGGCACACAUACCCCCAAAGGGACUCGCGGCCCAGCGGCCUCACUCGAUGCCAUAGCGCACCCAGAACAUGGUAUGGUUUCAGAAGGUGCAGCUCCUGUCCAGGUUGAUGGGCUGAAUUUCUGGAGCGUGGAGCCUGGCCUGCUCCUUCAUUCUCUGUGGGCGGAGCCAGGGGUGGGGGGAGGUGAGGUCAGAGGCCUGGAACCCUAACCAACUGCCACAACUGCCACAGCAGAGUGGGUGCUGCCAGCUCAAGGUGAGUGGUUUCUGCAGAAACCUUUAUUUUGCUUGUUUCCCAAGCCAGGCAGGGUCACGAGGGCACCCAGGUAGCAGCCCGUGCCCAGCAGCCCUGGGCAGGGGCCACCGGCCGGUGGAUGGUCAGCCUGUGGUUUCUCCGAGGCCCAGACUCCCACCUGUUAGCGAGGCCCUGGCCAGGCCCCAGGGCCCCUCUACCCCUCCCCUGCACCAGCCAGUCCAGCAUGACAGCACCCGCUGGCCAGGCCCUGGGCUUGUCCCCAGGAGGCUGCUGCCAGGGGUGGGUGCCCUGGGCAGUCAGGAGGCUGGGAGGGCGGUUGGGCCUCCAUCUCCUGAGCCCUGCUGACCCCACUGCACACAGGUGGGGCGAGGCAGAGGGCCAGAAGGGGAGCCUGUGCCUGGUUUGGGGGGCCUUUUGAGAGCUCGAGGACCGAGCAUGACGCUGGCUCUUGUCCUACAGUGUCCGUGGGUGUUCAUCACGCUCUGGGCCUCCAAGACUGCCCGUCCUCGGGCCACUUGGACAGUAGUGGCCACUGUCACCUCCACUCCCGCUGCACUUCCCCUGCUGAUCCUGCUCAGCUUGGGCACAUAGAGCACCCUCCCUGGGCAAAGGGACCAGGGGACCCCUCGGUGGAGACGGGGGCAGGGGCCUCUCUGGGUUGAUGGGUUGAGACCUGUCUCUUGUCCCCAGUCAGUCAGGCCUGUGCUCUUCGGGCCUGGCCGUCUCCCUCUGUGGUUUCUGUGGGGUCUCCUUGCCCUUUCCUCCUGGCUUCUGUCCCUUUCUGUGUGACUCUGUCCCCCUCAGGUGUCUAGGAGGUGGCACCUGUCCAUCUCUGGGCCCAGUGUCUGUGCUGGGCCAGGUGGGACAGGCAGUGAGGAGGGGGACAAGGCCUUCCUGGCGGGCGGCCCCAGGGCUGUGAGUCUGGGAGGUGCCAGGAACGCUGGGGACGGGCGAGGGUCCCCGAGGCGUAGGUGGAGGCCCUGCCUGGUAUUUCCCUUUGUUCUCCGCCUCCACCUUCUCCAGGUCCAACAGCAGAGACCACGCCUGACCUCAUAUCUGGGGGGAUCCCCCUGUGGACCCGCCAGCGCAUCUGUGGGAAAGAAGUAGCCCGGAGACACGCGCAGGGGACGCUGUGGGGGAGUCGGAGCGAGACAAGGAUUUACUCCAGUUCCUCUGUAUCUUCACCUACUUAUCGGCUCACCUGAUCGCCUGGGUUCUUUGCUGGAAAAGGGGACCUGGUGGUGUUGGCCAAGCAGCCAGCUUCCCUAGAGUGGCCCUGACUCAGGGCCAUGGUCUCAGAAGAGCCAGGAAGGCGCAGACCCCUCACAGUCCAAGGACACCUCGACCGCUCUGGGGUCGGGCAGCGGGGAACCGCAGCUCCGCCUCAGCCACCUCCCGCCUCCCACCAGGACAGUGGGAGACGGGUUCUCACCCUCGCCUUGUGGGUGCUGAAGCCGUGGAUGCUGAGGCUGAGCUGCUCCCAACUUGAAGGCAAGAGAUGCAGAGCCAUGAGGACCGGGUUCCUGGAGCCCCCCUCCCCCGCCCCCGUCUCAGCCCAGGAGACUCUGGAGGGGAGGACUGACCGCCCGGGGGUCAGUGGUGCCCCUCCUCCCGCUGCUGCUGGUCACCCCCCUCUGCCCCCCGCCCCUGCCCUGCCAGGCCGAGCGGCCUCUCCCAGAGCAGGCGGGUCCAGGAGCCCAGCACCUGCUGCUCAGCCUCCCCUCCUCCACUGCGGCCCGGCCGGGCCUCCUACCCCGAGUCUCCUCCUGGCACCAGACAAGGGGUCAAACUCCACCCGCCUCUGCCACUUUUCCAUGAGCUUCCAGGUCCUGCCGGACUAUCCUCCAACGCCUGAAACCACAUCUCUCACUGCCCUUCAUGCAAUGUCCUCACGUGGCCCCCCAGCUGGGCCUGCUGCCCUUGGAAACUUGUGGGCCAGGCGCCCCUCAUCCUGUGGCCACCCUCCGUAGAGCCGCUGUGGACCAGUCUGAGCCCACCCCGACCCUGCUGGACAGAUGCCCGGCCCCUCCGCGGUGUCGGUGUGGAGGCUCCGGGGCUGAGGCCAAAGCCCGGCUCAGAGCCCAGCUCUGCCCGCGCCACCUCCCCGAGCCCCCUUGGCGCGAGGUUAGUGCGGAUGCUGGUCCCCAGUGUCCCCCACGGCUUGAGGCCCUGAGCUGGGCAGAAGGGCCCUGCCUCCAGAGAGGUGCUUCCCCAAAUGGGAGCCCUCCUGGGGGACAUUGCGGGGGUGGGGGCGGUGUCCAGAUGGCUCACAGCCAAAAACCUAGCCUGUCGGUGACUUUAUAGAGUGAGAGAUCAGAAUCUCCCCUCGGUUCCACUGGAGGCCCUGACUGGCGCCCCUGAAACCCAGAUGGGGCACCAAGGUGAGGGUACAACCAGAGCGACAGAGGGCCUAGCACAAGACUCUGCCCAAAGGGGCGCCGCCUGUGCCUCACCUGCUUGUACCUGCUUUGAUCUUGCCUGGGACACACCUGCUGCCUCUGGGCCCCACCUGGGCCUCACCUGCUCAGCCUUGGCUCUGAUCCCACCAGGGACAUACCUGCCCCCGUGGGCUAUGAUUCCCCGCCUGGGCCUCACCUGUCCCCUCGGGCUCUGGUCUGCACCUGGGCUGCUCUGAUUCCCACUUGGGGGAUGUGCCUGCUCCUGCUGCUGCUGAUGCCCACUUGGGCCUCACCUGUUCUGCUGGCUCUGGUCCCCACCAGGCCUCUUUGCCUGUCCUUGGCUCUGCCCCCUGCCUGGGCUGCACCUGCUCCUAGUGGCUUCGCUCCCUCUGGAGCCUCACCUCAUAUUUGGCAGUUAUUUCUGCUCGUUCCAGGGCCAGCAGGGUCUCCAGCUUUUCUAUAUCUGAUGCUACAAGAAAAAAAAUCCAAACAUUCCAGUGUACAAAAGAGCUUCAGCGAACCAACAGGUUGAAGUGGGCUCCCUCUUGGCAGCUCCCCGCCUCUCUGAUCAGAGGGGAGAAAAUGGUGCCUCCUGGGUGAGUGGCACCCCAAACGCCCUAACGCCUCCACUUACAGAGCCCUCCCAGCAGCCUGGAGAUCUUGGCACAAUGAGAUGAGGAACAAGAAGGGGACCUGGAGGGGGGUCAGUGCAGAGGCGCGGGCUCCCGGCCCAGGGGCGCCGAGGGGAAGGCAGCUGCCAGCUGGCAAGGGCCCCGCAGGCUCAUGGGAUGCACGUGUUGCUUGGGCAUCCGAAACCCAGGUGACAAAAGAUCAACCUUGAUAAGCUGAACUUUAUCAAAAUGAAAAUGGCUGUGCCUCAGGUGACACAGUCAAGAGAAAGACAAUCCACACUGCGAAUACAAAUGUGUGAACGGCCUGACUGACCGGGGCCUAGGAUACAGAAUAUGGCCAGACUCCUAAGUAGAGUAGAAACGGCUCAAGUAGACAGUGGGCGGAGGACUUGGAUGUUUCUCCAAAGUCAACCCAACUUGAGGGAAGAGGGCCAGCGGGCACAGGAGACAAGCCUCAACAUUGGCAUCAGGGGGAUGCAAAUGGAGGCCCCCAGGAGACCGCACCUCUCACCUGCUGGAGGGGUUUUCCUGAGCACCUGAGGAUGUGGAGAGACUGGAACUUUCCUGUAGGGGCUGGCAGGAUUGCAAAACGGCCCAGAUGGGCGCCCAAGAGAGAGGGACAGGGACGCAGACAUCUGUACACGCACGUUCAUAGCAGAAGCACUCCCAAGAGCACGAAGGUGGGCCCCCUCCCAGACAGGUGGCGGGAGGUCCAGGAUGGGAUGGCACGUCAUUCAACUGGAGGAGGAGUGACCCGCUGCCCCGUGCUGCCCCAUGGACGGAUGUGAGGCUCAGCAAAGAGAGCAGAGCCAGAAGACCGCCCGUCGUGAGGCUCCGUGCGUGUGCAGCGGCCAGCAGAGCCGGGCCCAGAGAGACAGGAAGUGGUCCGUCGUCUCCGGGGCUGGGGGAGGGCCCAGUGCGGGUGUCUGUUGAUAACAGAUUUUGUGGACGAGGUGGUGGCGGGUGGACAUAGUGGUGAUGGUGACAUGACGUCACAAAUAUACUCAAAACCACCGAGUGGUCUGCUUUAACCGC